GGGGAAUUUUACACAAUGGGCGAAAGCCUGAUGUAGCAACGCCGCGUGGAGGAUGAAGGAUUUAGGUUCGUAAACUCCUUUUAUAGGGGAAGAAAUUUGACGGUACCCUAUGAAUAAGCACCGGCUAACUCCGUGCCAGCAGCCGCGGUAAUACGGGGGGUGCAAGCGUUACUCGGAAUCACUGGGCGUAAAGGGAGCGUAGGCGUUCUAUUAAGUCUUGAGUGAAAGCCCGCAGCCUAACUGCGGAACUGCUCAGGAAACUGAUAGAAUUGAGUAUGGAAGAGGUCAGUGGAAUUUCCAGUGUAGGGGUAAAAUCCGUAGAUAUUGGAAGGAAUACCAGAAGCGAAGGCGACUGACUGGGACAUUACUGACGCUGAGGCUCGAAAGCGUGGGGAGCAAACA
rnacentral:rRNA from 1 species